UGCCAGCCGCCGCGGUAAUACGGAGGGUGCAAGCGUUGUUCGGAAUUAUUGGGCGUAAAGGGCGCGUAGGCGGGCCAUUAAGUCUGAUGUGAAAUCCCUCGGCUCAACCGAGGACGUGCAUUGGAAACUGAUGGUCUUGAGUCCUGGAGAGGAAGGCGGAAUUCCCAGUGUAGAGGUGAAAUUCGUAGAUAUUGGGAGGAACACCAGCGGCGAAGGCGGCCUUCUGGACAGUGACUGACGCUGAGGUGCGAAAGCGUGGGUAGCAAACAGGAUUAGAUA
rnacentral:rRNA from 1 species